AUGCUCACUUAGGCAGCACAUAUACUAAAAUUGGAACAAUACAAAGAAGAUUAUCAUGGCCCUGUGCAAAGAUGAAAUGCAAAUUUGUGAAGCAUUCCAUGUUUUU